rnacentral:rRNA from 1 species
AGCAGCCGCCGCGGGAAUACAGAGGGUGCGAGCGUUAAUCGGAUUUACUGGGCGUAAAGCGUGCGUAGGCGGCUUUUUAAGUCGGAUGUGAAAUCCCUGAGCUUAACUUAGGAAUUGCAUUCGAUACUGGGAAGCUAGAGUAUGGGAGAGGAUGGUAGAAUUCCAGGUGUAGCGGUGAAAUGCGUAGAGAUCUGGAGGAAUACCGAUGGCGAAGGCAGCCAUCUGGCCUAAUACUGACGCUGAGGUACGAAAGCAUGGGGAGCAAACAGGAUUAGAUACCCGCGUAGUCCCUGUCUCUUAU